CUACAAAUGAAUUGACGGGGACCCGCACAAGCAGCGGAGCGUGUGGUUUAAUUCGUUGCUACACGAAGAACCUUACCUGGGUUUGACAUUAUAGGUUGUAGGGAACUGAAAAGGGACCGACCCUUCGGGGAGCCUAUACAGGUGUUGCAUGGCUGUCGUCAGCUCGUGUCGUGAGAUGUUCGGUUAAGUCCGCUAACGAGCGCAACCCUCGUCGUAUGUUAUAUGUGUCAUACGAGACUGCCGGUAAAAAGCCGGAGGAAGGUGAGGAUGAUGUCAAGUCAGCAUGACCUUUAUAUCCAGGGCUACACACACGCUACAAUGGUCUGUACAAUGGGUAGCCAAGCCGCGAGGCGGAGCCAAUCCUGAAAGCAGGCCUCAGUUCAGAUUGCAGUCUGCAACUCGACUGCAUGAAGCCGGAGUUGCUAGUAACCGCAGGUCAAGCAAUACUGCGGUGAAUACGUUCCCGGGUCUU
rnacentral:rRNA from 1 species